rnacentral:rRNA from 1 species
UCUGGCGGCGAUGGCGAAGAGGUCACACCCGUUCCCAUCCCGAACACGGAAGUUAAGCUCUUCAGCGCCGAUGGUAGUAAGGGGUUUCCCCUUGCGAGAGCAGGACGCUGCCAGGC